AAGCAAACAAAAUAGAUAAGAAAUAUGUUCAUAAUGUUAACAGUGUAAUAAACAGUUAGGAUAGUCAUACAUAACAUCAAUUAUCAUUCUCACACAAUAAUUCACAAAAUAACAACGACAAUCAUAAUGCUAAUGUACUAAUGCAAUGUACUCCUCCUCAUAUAAUGCAUGUGGUACCAAAAGUUUGGAUGUCCGAGUUAUUUUACGGGAAUAUUCAUGUCUCCAACUCC
rnacentral:lncRNA from 1 species